rnacentral:piRNA from 1 species
UAAUUUCCAGCUUGAAUAAUUUGCACC